rnacentral:sRNA from 1 species
CGACUCUGAUAGAGUCAACCUAGCCAACUGACGUUGUUUGUGGAAUAUUUUCACUUAAACAAUGAUGCCAACCGAACAAUUUACGGUUGGCUUUUUUUUU